UACAGGGGGUGCAAACGUUGCUCGGAAUCAUUGGGCGUAAAGCGCACGUAGGCGGUUCGUUAUGUCGGAUGUGAAAGCCCUUGGCUUAACCGAGGAAGUGCAUCCGAAACUGGCGAGCUAGAGUACGAAAGAGGAUCGCGGAAUUCCCGGUGUAGAGGUGAAAUUCGUAGAUAUCGGGAGGAACACCGGUGGCGAAGGCGGCGAUCUGGGUCGAUACUGACGCUGAGGAGCGAAAGCGUGGGGAGCAAACAGG
rnacentral:rRNA from 1 species